CUAGAGGCUUAACACAUGCAAGUCGAGGGGCAGCAUGGUCUUUUCUUGCUAAGGCCGAUGGCGACCGGCGCACGGGUGAGUAACGCGUAUCCAACCUGCCUUACACUCUUGGACAGCCUUCUGAAAGGGAGAUUAAUACAAGAUGUUAUCAUGAGUAAGCAUUUUCGCAUGAUUAAAGGUUUACCGGUGUAAGAUGGGGAUGCGUUCCAUUAGAUAGUAGGCGGGGUAACGGCCCACCUAGUCUUCGAUGGAUAGGGGUUCUGAGAGGAAGGUCCCCCACAUUGGAACUGAGACACGGUCCAAACUCCUACGGGAGGCAGCAGUGAGGAAUAUUGGUCAAUGGACGAGAGUCUGAACCAGCCAAGUAGCGUGAAGGAUGAAGGUUCUAUGGAUUGUAAACUUCUUUUAUACGGGAAUAAACGAAUCCACGCGUGGAUUUUUGCAUGUACCGUAUGAAUAAGGAUCGGCUAACUCCGUGCCAGCAGCCGCGGUAAUACGGAGGAUCCGAGCGUUAUCCGGAUUUAUUGGGUUUAAAGGGAGCGUAGAUGGGUUGUUAAGUCAGUUGUGAAAGUUUGCGGCUCAACCGUAAAAUUGCAAUUGAUACUGGCAGUCUUGAGUACAGUUGAGGUAGGCGGAAUUCGUGGUGUAGCGGUGAAAUGCUUAGAUAUCACGAAGAACUCCGAUUGCGAAGGCAGCUUACUAACCUGUAACUGACAUUGAUGCUCGAAAGUGUGGGUAUCAAACAGGAUUAGAUACCCUGGUAGUCCACACGGUAAACGAUGAAUACUCGCUGUAGGCGAUAUACAGUCUGCGGCCAAGCGAAAGCAUUAAGUAUUCCACCUGGGGAGUACGCCGGCAACGGUGAAACUCAAAGGAAUUGACGGGGGCCCGCACAAGCGGAGGAACAUGUGGUUUAAUUCGAUGAUACGCGAGGAACCUUACCCGGGCUUAAAUUGCAACCGAAUAUGGCGGAAACGCUAUAGCUAGCAAUAGCGGUUGUGAAGGUGCUGCAUGGUUGUCGUCAGCUCGUGCCGUGAGGUGUCGGCUUAAGUGCCAUAACGAGCGCAACCCUUGCCGAUAGUUACUAACAGGUUAUGCUGAGGACUCUGUCGGGACUGCCAUCGUAAGAUGUGAGGAAGGUGGGGAUGACGUCAAAUCAGCACGGCCCUUACGUCCGGGGCUACACACGUGUUACAAUGGGGGGUACAGAGGGCUGCUACCACGCAAGUGGAUGCCAAUCCCAAAAACCUCUCUCAGUUCGGAUUGAAGUCUGCAACCCGACUUCAUGAAGCUGGAUUCGCUAGUAAUCGCGCAUCAGCCACGGCGCGGUGAAUACGUUCCCGGGCCUUGUACACACCGCCCGUCAAGCCAUGGGAGCCGGGGGUACCUGAAGUGCGUAACCGCAAGGAGCGCCCUAGGGUAAAACUGGUGACUGGGGC
rnacentral:rRNA from 1 species